rnacentral:lncRNA from 1 species
UAAUGCACGCACCUGCAGUGAUUUCAUCCACAUUUCCUUCAUUUGCAGGUGCUGCAGGCCCGAGACUCUUUACCAUACACCAGAUUGAUGCCUGCACUAAUAACCUGCCGAAAGCCCACACUUGCUUCAAUCGAAUAGACAUUCCACCCUAUGAAAGCUAUGAAAAGCUAUAUGAAAAGCUGCUAACAGCCAUUGAAGAAACAUGUGGAUUUGCUGUGGAAUGACAAGCUUCAAGGAUUUACCCAGGACUCUAUUUAUACAACCCUGGCUGACAGCCUCCUUUCAGCAGAGUUUCAAAGAAUAUGCUGAAAUACAGGAAAACACCCCCCCCCCCUUUUUUUUUUUUUUUUUUUUUUUACAUUUUAGGACACUGUGAGGGGAAAGGACAAUUUUGAAAUUCCUUUUCAAGGAAAAAAAAGGUCUUUAUGCUUUGCCAUGAGGCCACAUUCAGCUGCUAUUUAAACUUAAUAUCUUGAACCUAAAGAAUGCUGACUUUUCCUACAUUUCCAGAGUUAGGCAGUAUUCUACACUUAAAGACUACUACUAUUUUUAUAAAAGGUAAUCUAUUCAAAUUGCUUCACAGAUUUCAAGUCUCUCAAACAUCAAGACAACUUCAGCAGUCGGUACAAGUCACAUUUCAUUUUGAUUGAACACCUGAUCUUGAACAGCUCCUGUACUUGCUCUUUGUAAAAAAAAUAAAAUUAUUUUGAAUUAUUCUACCUUUGUAAACAAUUGGC